AUAAGAGGCAAAGAAAGAAGAGCUAAGAACCUCCAAUGAGGUAGCCAUGGAAACAAAUAAGAAAACUCAUUAUGGUCUACUCUUUGAUGAACUUCAAGGCCUUCACAUCUAGAAGCUCUGGAGAUGAUUUCCCAAGAAAGUAAAAAAAUGGGGAUGAAGAUUUUUCUGAAGAGAUAACAGAGCUGUUUUCCCAGCUGCACAUCUCCUGCAAACCAGACAAACUUGCCAGAGCACUGUUAUGCAGUAGACUUAUUACAUGUCCUGAGGACCCACUGAGAUACUUAGAAGAAAUAAUGAUUAUCAUUGAAAGUAGUUUUGAAAGUCUUUUAUGAAAUAAAAUAAUAAUCGUAAAACAAGACUUGAAGUUUGUAUUUUAGAAGACCUCAAACCUAGCUCUAAAUAUCAUUUCUCAGUUCCCACUCUUAGAGCUACCCACACCACAAGUGAUGGCCGUGAGCAGCUCUGCCCAUCACUACUGCCUCCAUGGAGGCCUACCUACAUCACACACCAGCCCAGUGUGGUUCCGUAUCAAUAAAGGCAUCAAUCACAAAGUGUCAAACACUGCCUAUCUGAAUUGAAUAGUCUUUAAUUACAUCCCUGCUUUUGUGUAAAUGAAGAUAGAUGAUUUUAUGAGAAUUAAAAGAGCUGUCUAUAAUCUCCCUGUACAGGAUCUCAAAUUUAUGUUAUUUUACAUGAAUGCAGUUGUUCUUCUCUAUUUAACCCUAAUUUCUUUUCUUCCUCCCUAUUUAGGGCUAAUGGCAGCCUUACUUAUGUCUUUCUUAUUUGGCUUAAUUUUGUUGUGGAAUCUUUUUAAUGUCAGACAUUGCUAGGCACAUUUUCUGGCUUCAUUAAUUUUUUAAUUUUAGUUUUAUUUCAGCUUUGAUAUUUGAAUCACAGGACACCAAUACCUUUAUAUGCAUGGACACAUUGAUCUUUUAGAGUAUUUAGAAGAUUUUGUUUUUUUAACAGAAUGGAAGGUAUUAGAGAGAAAAUAUGAUUCUUCUUCCAGUUUGGUUUCCCUAUAGCCAUUAAACCUGAUCCCAGCUGGCACCAUUGCUCACACCUGCCAUCCUAGCUGCUCAGGAGGCUGAGAUCUGAGGAUCGCAGUUCAAAGCCAGCCCA